UGCCAGCAGCCGCGGUAAUACGAAGGGUGCUAGCGUUGUUCGGCAUUACUGGGCGUAAAGAGUCCGUAGAUUGUAAAAUAAGUUUUUUGUUAAAUUUUAAGACUUAAUCUUAAUCAAGCAUUUAAUACUGUUUUACUAUAGAGUUUAGUAGAGAAAAGUAGAAUUUUAUACGAUUAGAGGUAAAAUUCGUAGAUAUAUAAAGGAAUGCCAACAGCGAAGGCAACUUUUUACUAUAAACUGACGUUGAGGGACGAAAGUGUGGGUAGCAAACAGGAUUAGAUA
rnacentral:rRNA from 1 species